rnacentral:lncRNA from 1 species
GCCACCAAAAGCCUGUGCCAUUCCAAACACUGGGUUGUCUUUGGUGAGCCCCAUUACACAUCAGCUCAUGAAGCAAGAGGCAGAGUGUUGUUGAAUCUGCAGAACAUUAUUUAAGUAGGGAAGUCGAUGUUACUUCCAACUUUUGAUUGCGGUAUUUCCAGUUCUCAUUUCACUUGGUUCCACAAUCCAGGAUAGCAACCUGUAUCCCAUCUAUUUUGCAAAUUCAUACACCAUGGUCAAAAGACAGAAGAUGGAAGAGAAUGGACUGAUCUGUUCAAAUACAUCACACAAUCAAAGAGAAUGUUAUUGGGAUAAAGGAGGCACAGUGAGAUUUGAAAAGGAGAAUUAUUAUAAACCAAUAAAGAAUUCACCCCCAGCAUUUAAAAAAAAUGAUUCUGGAUUGUAAAGCUGUUUUGUUUUAAAAUAUCUUUCUGUAUGAACUUAUUUUAACUGGACUUUUAAAACAUUCUGACCUCUA